ACUUCCUGUCCACUUGUCUCUUAUUCUGCCAGAACUGGGCUUUGUUAGUGCUUCUCAAACCCUAGUGUACUUACUAAAGUCCUGCGGGAUCUCGUUAAAAUGCAGACUUUCAUUCAGCACUGUCCGUGGGGCCCGGAUUUGUGGGCGAUGCCUCACUUCUCACUGAGCGGCAAGGGCUGAGUGCCCCUUGAGACUCUGCCAGCCACCCAGACGUCGGUUUCCCCAACAGCCCUACGUUUGAGAUUUCCUGAACACUACCCAGUGCAACUUCCUCUUCUUUUUUGCUAGAGUUUGUCUUUUUUAGUCAGAAUUGGCAGGAAAGGAUUUCCUGAGAGUGGAGGCUGGAAGGCAAAGGGAAAUUACUGCCUUGAGGCAGCCAUUUCUUCAAUCAGUACGCAGCCUAAGCCAGGAUAGCAGAGGGAGUUUGGUCUGCCGGACUUUAAUCUGCACAUUGGAGGCAUGGCACUAUAACUCGGUCUGAUUCUCAUCUAAAAGCCCAGUUGGUUGUUAUUGUUUGGUUUUAGACUUAUGUCCCGUAAGAGUUUGCGUAGGCCUCACCCCCGAGAGGCCUCUCCAUCUUGUCUUGUGCCGACUCUCCAUCUUCUACGACUCGCCUUGGCCUCCCGUUCACUGCUUGUCUCCACUCUCACACUGCUCUUGUUGGCUCUGGCCAACUGCUGCUGCAGUCAUUUUUCCUGGUCCUCAAAGGCAGGAGUGGGCACUGGAGAGAAUGGAGUGGAGCAGAGAGCAGAGAGAGG
rnacentral:lncRNA from 1 species